CAAAGUACUUGAACAUAUCAUCUGUAAGCACAUACUAAACCAUCUAGACAAGCACAGGGUACUAACAUCACUCAACCAUGGAUUCAGAUCCGGAUACUCGUGUGAGACACAGCUACUAGUCACACUGCACGACUUCAUGAAAUCACAUGAUGCUGGAAACCAAAUUGAUGUUGCUAUCCUGGACUUUUCAAAAGCAUUUGACACAGUGCCACACAACAAACUCCUACACAAACUAGACGAAUAUGGUGUGAGAGGACCACUGAAUAAAUGGCUAGAAAUGUUUCUAACUCAGAGAAGGAUGAAGGUUGUCAUUGAUGGAGAGGAAUCGGAAGAAGUUACAGUGGACUCAGGAGUGCCACAAGGAACCGUACUCGGACCCCUUCUCUUCCUCUGUCAUAUCAAUGAUCUCCCGGACUCAGUAAAAUCAACUGUUAGACUUUUUGCUGAUGAUUGUCUGCUAUACAGAAAUAUAAAAACUCAACGAGACCACACACUGUUACAACAAGAUCUGGUUAGCCUAGAAAAAUGGGCCAAAGACUGGGGUAUGCGCUUCAACGCAAAGAAAUGUUACAUCUUGAGCAUUAAGAACAAAAGUCAGAAGUUCUAUACCCUUGAUGGACACAUACUCCAACAGGUCAAACACAACCCAUACCUGGGACUACAGAUAUCGGACGAUCUGAAAUGGACCACCC
rnacentral:lncRNA from 1 species